rnacentral:tRNA from 1 species
AGGGGUAUCGCCAAGCGGUAAGGCAGCGGGUUUUGAUCCCGCCAUUCGGAGGUUCGAAUCCUUCUACCCCUGCCA